UUUUGAUUGGCAAGUCCAAGGCUCAGUGGUUUAGACCACAGCGCCACCUGCGUCCGUUAGCUGAGGAUUAGGUUCCAUGUAUUCCAUGCAAAAUGUCUCACAUUCAGUUCCAAGCACCUUGCGCAUGAAAGCACCAGGCCUGAGCAUGAAAUGAAAUGAAACCUCAAAGCAGAGAAGGUUAACUCAUAGGCCUUUGGAUGUUUCUGAUCUGGAGAUCCCAUCACCCAUGAUCUUUAGCCACAAAUAACAGCGACUCCAUGGAGCGCAGGACAGAAGAGUGAAGCAGCUUCAGAAACAGGGUUGGGAAGGGGGAAAGGGGGCUUAGUCAUCUCCUAGGGUGGAAAGGAGAAAGGAAAGGACAGGUUGGCCAAUUAUUAUGGGGUGCAGAGUGGACAUGGCAGGUGGAGCAAGCAGAGAAGCAGAGCCCCUCCUGUUUGAAAAUAUUUUUGUAAGUUGCUUUGAGUCUAGUUAGAAAAAGGUGUUUGAGAAAAAGGAUGGACUUGAAUUUUUUUUUUUUUUUUAAAGAACUGUUUGAAGCUAUUACUACUACCAGUGCUAUUUCCUGGAGGGAUGCACGCGUGCGCAUACCCCUAAACAUUUUGUGAAUCUAAGUUUGGCCAGAUUGAGGAGCAGUAUUUCAAUAUGAGUAGGAAAAUGUGAGUACCCCUAAACAUUUUUUAGGGGGGGAAAGCACUGAUUACUACUAAGAAUAAUCAUUGUGGGAGGCGAGCAUGUGAAAAGUGUCCUUCCUUCAGCUAAUUGCAAAGGUUCAGCAAUGCAAUGGGGACAGGUGAGGGGUGAGUCAUUUACCUGGGGGAUACAUCCCCCGGGCACUGCCUAUAUGGGGCAUUGCAUCCUCAGCAUAAAUGUUUCGUUUGAUUCAAGCUAUCUCGCUCUGAAACAUGAAUACAGCACAUCUGAAUGUUUGUGAUCUUACUUCUGUGGAAACUGCUAUGACUGACCGAAUGCAGGAGUGCCUUUCCAGAGGCACGUGAUUUUGGCAACAUUCUUGUCCACGUCAGCCUAAGUCACAACGUCCCAAAGAAAUUAAAAUUAUGCAAUCUGCUUCUCCCUCCCAGCCCUCUCUUGGCAACCUUCGGGGCUCCAUUUGACUGAAAAGACGGCAUUCGGCUUUGCCACCACAAUUCAUCCUGAGCCAUGAAGAUCCUUCACCUGUGCUUGGCAGUUCUCUCUUUGCUGCUCCUGGCUUCCCCAGGUAAGGGAUGGAGAGGAAGAAGGCAGAGGGACACAUGCCAGCCAUUUUUGGGGUGGAAGAGGGAGAGGAGUACAGUUGCUGUUCUGUGGCCUUGCAAAGGAAGCUCACUUUUCUUUCUAGAGACGUUUCUUUAGUGGUAAUAUCUUUUGUGGUAAUUAUUUGCAUUAAAAUGUAUAUAUCCGACAACAUUGCCUACCAAAGUGUGUCUACUAGGGAAAAUAUGCACUGUGUUGCUGAAUUUCCCCCCAUUAUGCCCAAAACUGCUAUGCAAUUUCCCCUAUUGUAACCUAUAUUUUCAUGCUAUUGUCAUGAAAUUACACUUUUUCAGGUACAUUUUUUAAACACAUUACUUGGAGGGAGAGCUGACUUUCACAGGACAACUGUGCUUUGAUGUUCACAUGUUGACUUCAUUAUGGCACAGUAAUAUAAGGAAAAAAGGACGUGGGUGGCCCUGUGGUUUAAACCACUGAGCCUCUUGGGCUUGCCGACCAGAAGGUUGGCGAUUUGAAUCCCCACGAUGGGGUGAGCUCCCAUUGCUCGAUCCCAGCUCCUGCCAACCUAGCAAUUCGAAAGCACAUCAAAGUGCAAGUAGAUAAAUAGGCACCAAUCUGGCGGGAAUGUAAACGGUGAUUCUGUGUGCUGCUCUGGUUCACGAGAAGCAGCUUAGUCAUGCUGGCCACGUGACCCGGAAGCUGUCUGUGGUCAAACGCCGGCUCCCUCAGCCUGUAAAGCGGGAUGAGCGCACAACCCCAGAGUUGUCUGCAAAUGGAAUUAACUGUCAAAACAGUCCUUUACCUUUUUUUAAAUAUAUGGAAAAUGGCACCGCAUGUAAAACUGGUAAGGAAAAACAAAAGUAGCCUCUUCUUUGCUCAGUUUGGUUAGAUUUUAUGGAAUUCUAUGCAAAUUUAUGGCAUAAGUUUUACAAAAUAAAAUUUUGAUUUGUCUCUUCCACAGGUCUGCCAAUAAAUUUGGGGUAUAAAGUUUCUAAUUAGUGGGAAAUGUUUCUUGAUGUAGUAUACAGCCUUUUAUUCUGGAUAGUCCUUGGGGCUCUGAUGGCUUCAGUUCCAGGCUUUAGAUUCUCUAUAACUUAUAAGCCAUGUGUGCCUCACUUCUUGCUGUCGUGUUUCGUAGACUGACACCCUCCACUCAUGAGCAAAUAUCUGGAUAAGCAGAUUGACCAUUUCUUCUUGUGAAUGUAGCAAGGGUGGUAAACACCAGUGGCCAGUGGCAAGGGGUGGGGUGGGGGUAGGAGUUGGGAUGCCACAGCACCCAGAGCAUCACGGAGCCAUUCCUCUCUUUCAUUCUAUUGUGAAUUAACUUCCUUCUCCCCACUUAUGUUUGUUUCUCUCUUUGCACAGGAUCUGCACAGUACCAGGAACCUAAGAAUGUUAUUCAAUGCCAUAGUGCCAAUGGUACUUGCUUCCCUAUACGUUGUCCCAAUAAUUAUAAAAGGAUUGGAACGUGUAUUCAAAAUUAUUUCUCUUGCCAAAGGUAAUUUCAGCUUACCAAAAGAGUAUUACACCUCCUGCACUUCUCCCAUUAGCCUCUGGAUUGAUCAUUUUAAGUACCCAAUGCAGAGUCCCCUAAACUGAUCAUCCUUUGCCUGCAAGCUCAAUUGCUCCAUUGCAAAAAUAAAAAUAAAAAUACCUAUGCCAGAAUGAGCCAAGGGUGGCACAUCCCAUUUUGCCGCUUGAUGCAAAAUGGUAAUUGCUGCUUUGCCAUUCUGCCAGGAUGGCUCCUAAGCCCAUCUACCUGCUCCUCCUGCCAUGGCCUGAUCUGCCACUGACACACACCAUACCCUGUUGGUUGCAGGCACAGAAGCUGCACUACCAUUGUUGCCCAUUUUAAGCCAGAUGGUGCUGAGUUCUUUCACCAUAUGCAGAACCAGCAGGGCAGGAGGGGCACCAAUGGGUUUAUUGUCUGAGGGGCUUCUGCCACCAGAAGCAGGGUCCUCACCUGCAUCAUGGCUGGUCCAGCUGUCUUUGGCCCCUUUGCCCUCUGAGCUUAUGCCAGAUCUCCUUUGCCAAAUCCCUAAAC
rnacentral:lncRNA from 1 species